rnacentral:rRNA from 1 species
UACGUAGGGGGCAAGCGUUGUCCGGAAUCAUUGGGCGUAAAGCGCGUGUAGGCGGUUCAGUAAGUCUGCUGUGAAAGUCCAGGGCUCAACCCUGGGAUGCCGGUGGAUACUGCUGGGCUAGAGUACGGAAGAGGCGAGUGGAAUUCCCGGUGUAGCGGUGAAAUGCGCAGAUAUCGGGAGGAACACCAAUUGCGAAGGCAGCUCGCUGGGACGUCACUGACGCUGAGGCGCGAAAGCGUGGGGAGCGAACAGG